rnacentral:rRNA from 1 species
AUUGAACGCUGGCGGCAUGCUUUACACAUGCAAGUCGAACGGCAGCGCGGGCUUCGGCCUGGCGGCGAGUGGCGAACGGGUGAGUAAUGCAUCGGAACGUGCCCCGUAGUGGGGGAUAGCCCAGCGAAAGCCGGAUUAAUACCGCAUACGACCUGAGGGUGAAAGCGGGGGACCGAAAGGCCUCGCGCUAUUGGAGCGACCGAUGUCGGAUUAGCUAGUUGGUGGGGUAAAGGCUUACCAAGGCGACGAUCCGUAGCUGGUCUGAGAGGACGACCAGCCACACUGGGACUGAGACACGGCCCAGACUCCUACGGGAGGCAGCAGUGGGGAAUUUUGGACAAUGGGGGCAACCCUGAUCCAGCCAUGCCGCGUGCGGGAAGAAGGCCUUCGGGUUGUAAACCGCUUUUGUUCGGGAAGAAAUCCUCUGGGCUAAUACCCCGGGGGGAUGACGGUACCGGAAGAAUAAGCACCGGCUAACUACGUG